rnacentral:rRNA from 1 species
GACGUAGGGAGCGAGCGUUGUCCGGAAUUAUUGGGCGUAAAGAGCGUGUAGGCGGCCCGAUUAGUCCGCUGUGAAAGUCCAGGGCUCAACCCUGGAAUGCCGGUGGAUACUGUCGGGCUAGAGUCCGGAAGGGGCGAGUGGAAUUCCUGGUGUAGCGGUGAAAUGCGCAGAUAUCAGGAGGAACACCAAUGGCGAAGGCAGCUCGCUGGGACGUGACUGACGCUGAGACGCGAAAGCGUGGGGAGCAAACAGG